UACGAAGGGGGCUAGCGUUGUUCGGAAUUACUGGGCGUAAAGCGUGCGCAGGCGGCUUCUCAAGUCAGGGGUGAAAGCCCAGAGCUCAACUCUGGAAUUGCCUUUGAGACUGAGUGGCUUGAGUACGGGAGAGGUGAGUGGAAUUCCCAGUGUAGAGGUGAAAUUCGUAGAUAUUGGGAAGAACACCGGUGGCGAAGGCGGCUCACUGGCCCGUAACUGACGCUCGUGCACGACAGCGUGGGGAUCAAACAGG
rnacentral:rRNA from 1 species